rnacentral:lncRNA from 1 species
AUAAAUCACGUGCCUCUUCUUUUGCAGUCUUUGCUUUCGCUUUGACUCAUUCAUGACUAGCAAGUUCAAUUCUCUUUUCUCCAGCUGAGCUCUUCUCAACUCGAUCAUUAUAAGAGUGGGAUUGUCUUACAUUACCUCGGCUCUAUAAAAUUUUCAUGGUUGACAUGCUGAACUUCAAUAAUUCAAUUAAGAAAUGGGGGGAACACCAAAGAGUUAAUGCUCUACUUUAAUAAUAUAAUCAAGAAACAGGGAGAACAAAAAAAAAUUAAUGCUAAACAUCAAUAAUUCAAUCAUGAAACAAGGAAAAAAACAAAGAAUUAAUGCUAAAAUCAAAAUUGAUUGUCAUAAAAAAAGAAGAUUCAAAACUUCAUCUCCUAGCUCGGUCAAUACUCCUCAAACACUCCAAGUUCAUGUAACUCCAUUUUUUCCAAGUUUUCAUUCUCCCACCAAAAUUCCCUCUCACCUUUACCCAACUUUUCAACCAUUGGAUUGCGGGAAGCACAAUUCGAAACUUUAUCUCUUAGCCAGUUUAGUAUCUUCUUCAACACUCCGAGUUCACGCAAAUCCAUUUUUUUCCAAGUUUUCAUUCUCCCACCAAAAUUCCCUCUCACUUUUACCCCCUCUCUUCAACCACCAGAUUGUGGGCAUCAUCAAGAAAAUGGCAUCGAUUCAAAAUGGAUUCCACAGAGGGUUCACCAAAAAUGAAAAACUUGUUACCUAGAGCUUGAAUGAGGAUUGUUACAUCUGUGCCACACAAUAGGCGCAUUUCCGCAGCCUUCUUGAAAAGACCCUUCUACCUCUUGGAGAAAGGAACUUGUAAACUUGUUUUCUUGUUGAUCUUUUGGAUUUCAAUUGCUAGACAUUAGGAUGUUGUCUACCAAUUAUCGAAAUAUUGGUUUAACUCAUCCUUUUGUUGUCAAUCUUUCUAAAUUUUAGAUUACGAGUGUGUUUGAUUGACAUGAAAAAUAUCACAUAGAAAAGAAAAUAUUUUCCUUAUUUGAGGAAAAUAAAAAUCAUCUCCACCUAAGAAAAAUAUUUUCCUUAAAAACAAGGAAAAUUAGACAUAUUUUCAAAAGUUGGAAAAUAUUUUCCAUGGAAAAAAAUAGCAAUCAAACACUCCAAGUAGGAAUUUGGGUGGAAAAAUGAUAUUUUCCAAGGAAAAUAAAUGUAAUCAAACACACUCUAAGAUAACAAAGGCACAACAUUUUUUAUAAUGAAAAAAUUUAAUUUACUUUUGAUGUGCAACAUAGAUUAGAAGACCCUAAUUAUUAUUAUUCUCUGUUACGUGUCUUAUUGUCUUGUUUUCCUAAACAUGUUAAGAAAAGAGUUUUGGAACAUCCAUUUAAAGGUUUUCUAGUUAACUGGCCAUCACACUUAAAUAAAAGUUGUAUUUUCCAUGUGGAAGAAUUGUUUCAUUAUUGGGGCCUAUUCAAGACUUCGAUGUUGCAAUCAUUUUUUUAACGGCCAGUCUACAGUAUUAGUUCCUUGUGCUAUCCUUUAUGUACAACCAUUUGAAGAUUUUGUGGUUGAGUUGCAUAAGUUUGUUUUUUCAGGAUUUUCCUGUUGCAAUUUGGUUAGAAUGAGAGAUCAUCCUCCUUGAUUAGAUCAUAUUCUUGGGGAUAAUUUGCAAACUCAAUUGAUGUCGCAUGAUCAGUUCAGAUACUUGGUUCUUAAGAAAGAUCGUCAUCCUUUGUAUGAGUUUAGCAAUUGAUGUUACUCAAAGAGAGAUCAUCCUCCUUGGUCAGAUCAUAUUUUUGGGGAUAAUUUACAAAUUCAAUUGAUGUCGCAUGAUCAGUUCAGAUACUUGGUUCUUAAGAAAGAUCGACAUCCUUAGUAUGAGUUUAGCAAUUGAUGUUACUCAAAAUUCAGUUUAGACACUUGAUCAAGACAAAAGAUUGCCCUCCUUGGCUACGAAGUUCCAAUCUCACUCGUCGGAGUCUACUUCUUUUAGUCGAGGAUAAAUGAUGGAGAUAAGAUAGACACUAAAAUAAAGAUAAAUUUAAAUUAGGAUUCUAUAGUAGUAGUUUGAUUUAAAAUAUAUUAUUUAGAUUUGAUUUGAUUUGAUUUGAUAUUCUUUCAAUUUCUAACUCUAUAAAUAAAGGGGCUUAUUCAUUGUAAUGAAUAAUCUUGAUGGUAUGAAUAAAGAUUGGGUUUUCAUCUUGCCCUCAAUUCUUUUUUUUGGUUCCCUUUCUUUCUUAAUCUUUAAUUAUUCUUUAACAAGUUAUUCGCAUCAUGCGUCAACUUGGUUAACAGUCCAAAAAAAUUUUGUUGUUGCUAAAGAAGGGCAGAAUAAGGGCACCCAUGUGGUAUAGCCAACCAAUUCAAGCAUCAUUAGCUUGGAUAAAGGAAGAAACUUAUAGGAACUUCUAAAAUGUUUUAAUUGAAUACACUGUAUUUUUAGAAAUUUUUUAAAAGUCUAUAAAAACCUUAAUUGAAUAUUCCAAUACCUUUUGAGAGUCAAAAAAAAUUUACAUCGAAUACCGCUAAACUUUUUAAAUUUCAAAAACCCAUUAAAAGUCUUAAUUAAAUGCAUCACCUUCGUCUUCUCCGAGCUAGGCCCCUAAACCCCCAACCCAUCCCCAGACACCCAAACAAAAGCUGAUGGAGGCUAAAAGAUUGAUCUCAGGCGAAAUUCCUAAGUUUUCGAUCUCUUCAAUUUCGGUUUCACACACACACAUGGAGACUCAGUUGAUUCGACUUUUCUCUUGUUCUCCUCUAAUCUCUUGAAUUAUCUACACAUCUAUAGGCGUAGAUUACAAUCAAACACGCAUACAUAUGAGUCCGGAGUUGUUAUUCAGAGGGCACAAGACGUCGUCUGUAGCAGAAAAGUACUCACCAAAGAUGCAAAUCCGUGGUUGAGUGUGAUUCGUCUGAUUUGAUAAAUGUUUUGUGAACGGUGACUCAUAUUUAUUUUCGUAGGCAUUACCAUCGCCACUGCCAUCUUUGCCCUCCUUCAAUAUUUCGAGCUCUAUCUCUAACUCAGCUUUUCCCUUCGAGUUGACUCAGCCUCAUAGACUCAUCAACUAGAAUGGCCAUGCCCACUGAGUUUGGAUUUGGGCCGUCC